UAUAAAGCAAUGUUCUCGGAUGGUUCAUCAAUAGAUUGAUCUGUUUAAAUUGUUUAUUAAAAUGAUUAUGGAUUUUGGUGGAUUGGCAGUUGCAUCUUUCCUCUUGUACCGAUCUCUUUAUCCGAGCAUGUCGUCUAAGAAUGACAAAUACAUAGAAGCUGGUGAGUUAACAUAGAAGAAGGUGAUUGGGCUUCUUGGAGGAGAGGGUGAGUUGAUGAUUGUUUGAAAUUGGAUAAACAGCCAUUUUGUGGAUUCUAAGGACUGGUAUAUAUGAUGAGGUUGGUCAAUUAUUACUUAGAAUGACUGAGCUUUUCUUGAGUUUGACGAUCUAUUCACAUCUAUCUUCGGUUGGGUUGGUGUAUGGGCAGUGUCCUUGAUCAUCUCGAGGACCACUUGAAGAGCUGAAAUUUUGAUAAACUCCUGCUGCGUAGGCACUUUGUUGAAUGUCAUUCCUCAGUUGAUUCCCUUGGAGUGGAAAGAUGACAAUUCAGCUUUUUCUGUAUGGCUAAGUUGAUGAAUUGCGGAGUCCGCGCUUUGUUUGAAAUUGGAUAAGCUCCCCCUUCUUGGAUUUGGUUCCUUUGAUGUCUUCACUCUAUAUGUGUACAUGGAUGAAUCCUUAAUCAAUUAAUAUUUUGGCCAUGCUA